rnacentral:lncRNA from 10 species
AUACAAAUGACAAGGAGAGGGGGGUUAUGGAGCCACAGCUGGAAGGAGUCUGGUCCUUGAAUCACCAUUUGGAGAAAAAACCUGCAGAUGAUCCCAUCCUGCCUGCACAGCUUCUCCAGGGGAGAUAGACACACAGAAGCCCACGAGAGUCAAAUAAGAGCCAUACCUUCCAGGUCUCCAUGACACAGACAUCCUCCACCACACCUGUUAAGAAAGUCGAAAUCGUCACUGCCACCCACACUGGGGUUCUGCUUUCCUGAUUACACCUUUCUCAUCUCUAUCACCUAUGCCAGGAACCCAAACCCAAGUCUUCCCAGCUGUGUGCAGAAUCACAGUGGCCACACCAAGACAACAGGUGGGGUCAAUGUCACAGCCCAUUAGGCUGCAUCUGUGUCCACUGGCUCCCUCAUCAACCACACAAAACAAAACAGAGACUACACAACAAUCUA